rnacentral:rRNA from 1 species
UGAGGUGCGAAGUGGUUCUGACCUUUUGGUACAGAGAAGUCAUUGAUGCCCGGCUUCCAGGAAAAGCUGCUAGCCAUAACUUAUAGAGAACCGUACCGCAAACCGACACAGGUGGACAGGUAGAGAAUACUAAGGCGCUUGAGAGAACUCGGGUGAAGGAACUAGGCAAAAUGGUACCGUAACUUCGGGAGAAGGUACGCCCUUUCUGGUGAUGGGAUUUACUUUCAGAGCUGGAGAGGGCCGCAGAGACCAGGUGGCUGCGACUGUUUAUUAAAAACACAGCACUCUGCAAAUUCGUAAGAAGACGUAUAGGGUGUGACGCCUGCCCGGUGCCGGAAGGUUAAUUGAUGGGGUUAUCUUCGGAGAAGCUCUUGAUCGAAGCCCCGGUAAACGGCGGCCGUAACUAUAACGGUCCUAAGGUAGCGAAAUUCCUUGUCGGGUAAGUUCCGACCUGCACGAAUGGCGUAACGAUGGCCACACUGUCUCCACCCGAGACUCAGUGAAAUUGAAAUCGCUGUGAAGAUGCAGUGUACCCGCGGCUAGACGGAAAGACCCCGUGAACCUUUACUAUAGUUUUGCACUGGACUUUGAUGAUGACUGUGUAGGAUAGGUGGGAGGCUGUGAAGUGAGGACGCUAGUUCUCAUGGAGCCGCCCUUGAAAUACCACCCUGUUGUUAUUGAGGUUCUAACUUGGUCCAGUAAUCCUGGAUGAGGACAGUGUAUGAUGGGUAGUUUGACUGGGGCGGUCUCCUCCCAAAGAGUAACGGAGGAGCACAAAGGUACCCUCGGUACGGUCGGACAUCGUACCAAGAGUGUAAAGGCAAAAGGGUGCUUGACUGCGAGAGUGACGGCUCGAGCAGGAACGAAAGUUGGUCUUAGUGAUCCGGUGGUUCUGAAUGGAAGGGCCAUCGCUCAACGGAUAAAAGGUACUCCGGGGAUAACAGGCUGAUACCGCCCAAGAGUUCAUAUCGACGGCGGUGUUUGGCACCUCGAUGUCGGCUCAUCACAUCCUGGGGCUGAAGCAGGUCCCAAGGGUAUGGCUGUUCGCCAUUUAAAGUGGUACGCGAGCUGGGUUUAGAACGUCGUGAGACAGUUCGGUCCCUAUCUGCCGUGGGCGUAGGAAAAUUGAGAGGAGCUGCUCCUAGUACGAGAGGACCGGAGUGGACGAACCUCUGGUGCACCGGUUGUCACGCCAGUGGCAUGGCCGGGUAGCUAAGUUCGGACGGGAUAACCGCUGAAAGCAUCUAAGCGGGAAGCCUCCCUCAAGAUGAGUUUUCCCAUGAAGCCCGUUGAAGACUACGACGUUGAUAGGCAAGGUGUGGAAGCGCAGUAAUGCGUGAAGCUAACUUGUACUAAUUGGCUGAUUGUCUUGACCAU